rnacentral:rRNA from 3 species
GAAGCGGCAACAGCUCAAAUUUGAAAUCUGGCGCAAGCCCGAGUUGUAAUUUGUAGAGGAUGCUUCUGGGUAGCGGCCGGUCUAAGUUCCUUGGAACAGGACGUCAUAGAGGGUGAGAAUCCCGUAUGUGACUGGCUUGCACCCUCCACGUAGCUCCUUCGACGAGUCGAGUUGUUUGGGAAUGCAGCUCUAAAUGGGAGGUAAAUUUCUUCUAAAGCUAAAUACCGGCCAGAGACCGAUAGCGCACAAGUAGAGUGAUCGAAAGAUGAAAAGCACUUUGGAAAGAGAGUUAAAAAGCACGUGAAAUUGUUGAAAGGGAAGCGCCCGCAACCAGACUUUGCGGCAGUGUUCGGCCGGUCUUCUGACCGGUUUACUCGCUGUCGUGAGGCCAUCAUCGUCUGGGACCGCUGGAUAAGACCUUAGGAAUGUAGCUCCCCUCGGGGAGUGUUAUAGCCUCUGGUGAUGCAGCGCGUCUCGGGCGAGGUCCGCGCUUCGGCAAGGAUGAUGGCGUAAUGGUUGUCGGCGGCCCGUCUUGAAACACGGACCAAGGAGUCUAACAUCUAUGCGAGUGUUCGGGUGUCAAACCCCUACGCGUAAUGAAAGUGAACGGAGGUGGGAACUUUUUGUGCACCAUCGACCGAUCCUGAUGUCCUCGGAUGGAUUUGAGUAAGAGCAUAGCUGUUGGGACCCGAAAGAUGGUGAACUAUGCCUGAAUAGGGUGAAGCCAGAGGAAACUCUGGUGGA